GACGAACGCUGGCGGCGUGCUUAACACAUGCAAGUCGAACGGAAAGGCCCUGCUUUUGUGGGGUGCUCGAGUGGCGAACGGGUGAGUAACACGUGAGUAACCUGCCCUUGACUUUGGGAUAACUUCAGGAAACUGGGGCUAAUACCGGAUAGGAGCUCCUGCUGCAUGGUGGGGGUUGGAAAGUUUCGGCGGUUGGGGAUGGACUCGCGGCUUAUCAGCUUGUUGGUGGGGUAGUGGCUUACCAAGGCUUUGACGGGUAGCCGGCCUGAGAGGGUGACCGGCCACAUUGGGACUGAGAUACGGCACAGACUCCUACGGGAGGCAGCAGUGGGGAAUAUUGCACAAUGGGCGGAAGCCUGUUGCAGCAACGCCGCGUGCGGGAUGACGGCCUUCGGGUUGUAAACCGCUUUCGCCUGUGACGAAGCGUGAGUGACGGUAAUGGGUAAAGAAGCACCGGCUAACUACGUG
rnacentral:rRNA from 1 species